CUCCCCCGCCUCCUCCUGUAAUGGACACGCCCCCUGCCCCUCCUCUUCCAUCUCUCGCUCAUUUGUGGACGACUUCGAAUCCAAGUAUUCGUUUCAUCCUCUGGACGAUUUCCCGCCUCCUGAUGACAUCAGACAUUUUACUAAGAUCUACCCGAGCAGAGCCAACAGAGUGAUGAGAGGAGCUCCGCCCCUUCCUCCUGUUGGGAGGUGAAGCAUGAACACACACACACACACACGCACACACACCUGUGGGAGUGAGUUCAGCUGCUACGUUAGCUUUAAACCAGUGACAUCGCUGUGAGCACAGAAGCCACACCCCCACCACCGCCUAUCAUCUGUCUCUAUGCUAAGCUAAGCAUGUUCUCAACUGAAAUAUGUGGGACAGAUGCACCUUAACACAAAGUCAGACCAGGAUCCGAGUAUGGACCUGGUCUUACUGUAAACAGCGUUUCUGAGUGAUUUUCAGGUGAAACUAUAUUUAAAGAUUCUGAUAUUUUCUUUGUGAACAUAAAAGUUGGAUGUUGCAGAAAUAUUAGUCGUGUUAAUAAACGUCGUAAUUGUGCCAUAAAUGUUAGCGUCGUAGCAUCAAACAGCGUCAAAAAUAAAGUUGCAAUAUUUUGAAAACAAGUUUAGUGACGAGAGAAACCUGAAGAAAAUGAACUUGUGACAUCCCUGAACCCUGUCCUGUGAUUGGUCUCUGAACCCUGUCCUGUGAUUGGUCCCUGAACCCUGUCAUGUGAUUGGUUGUGACGCCUUGUUGCUGAACUGCAUUUUGGGUAUGUAGCUUGGUAAACUUCAGUCAGCUCGCAGUUUGUCGUCUUCAUGGUUACAGAAACAUUAGCAACUGUUGCUAUGAAGUCGGCCAUGACUGUCUUUAGCCACGCCCACUGUCCACUGUAUUUUUACGUGGCGUUGUUGAUGAAUCAAAGUCAAGUAACCUCACUUAACCUGUUGUUUUGUUUGAAUUUUAUUACGAAAGAACAAAAGUUUAAAUCGUUUUGUUGGUUUUUGAUUCUUUUUGCCUUAACAACUGCAUGAACACAAUAAACUGCUUCCUGUUGCAUCA